rfam:Calypte anna contig52412, whole genome shotgun sequence.
AAGGUGGCCUAUGCCACUGCCAUGGAUUGGUUUAUAGCUGUCUGCUACGCGUUC